GACGAACGCUGGCGGCGUGCUUAACACAUGCAAGUCGAACGGAAAGGCCCCUUCGGGGGUACUCGAGUGGCGAACAGGUGAGUAACACGUGAGUAACCUGCCCUUGACUUCGGGAUAACUUCAGGAAACUGGGGCUAAUACCGGAUAGGAAUCCUUGCUGCAUGGUGGGGGUUGGAAAGCUUCGGCGGUUUUGGAUGGACUCGCGGCUUAUCAGCUUGUUGGUGGGGUAGUGGCUUACCAAGGCUUUGACGGGUAGCCGGCCUGAGAGGGCGACCGGCCACAUUGGGACUGAGAUACGGCCCAGACUCCUACGGGGGGCAGCAGUGGGGAAUAUUGCACAAUGGGCGGAAGCCUGAUGCAGCAACGCCGCGUGCGGGAUGACGGCCUUCGGGUUGUAAACCGCUUUCAGCAGGGGCGAAGCUUGUGGUGACGGUACCUGCAGAAGAAGCACCGGCUAACUACGUG
rnacentral:rRNA from 1 species